CGCUAGCUACAGGCUUAACACAUGCAAGUCGAGGGGCAGCAUGGUCUUAGCUUGCUAAGGCCGAUGGCGACCGGCGCACGGGUGAGUAACACGUAUCCAACCUGCCGUCUACUCUUGGACAGCCUUCUGAAAGGAAGAUUAAUACAAGAUGGCAUCAUGAGUCCGCAUGUUCACAUGAUUAAAGGUAUUCCGGUAGACGAUGGGGAUGCGUUCCAUUAGAUAGUAGGCGGGGUAACGGCCCACCUAGUCUUCGAUGGAUAGGGGUUCUGAGAGGAAGGUCCCCCACAUUGGAACUGAGACACGGUCCAAACUCCUACGGGAGGCAGCAGUGAGGAAUAUUGGUCAAUGGGCGAGAGCCUGAACCAGCCAAGUAGCGUGAAGGAUGACUGCCCUAUGGGUUGUAAACUUCUUUUAUAAAGGAAUAAAGUCGGGUAUGGAUACCCGUUUGCAUGUACUUUAUGAAUAAGGAUCGGCUAACUCCGUGCCAGCAGCCGCGGUAAUACGGAGGAUCCGAGCGUUAUCCGGAUUUAUUGGGUUUAAAGGGAGCGUAGAUGGAUGUUUAAGUCAGUUGUGAAAGUUUGCGGCUCAACCGUAAAAUUGCAGUUGAUACUGGAUAUCUUGAGUGCAGUUGAGGCAGGCGGAAUUCGUGGUGUAGCGGUGAAAUGCUUAGAUAUCACGAAGAACUCCGAUUGCGAAGGCAGCCUGCUAAGCUGCAACUGACAUUGAGGCUCGAAAGUGUGGGUAUCAAACAGGAUUAGAUACCCUGGUAGUCCACACGGUAAACGAUGAAUACUCGCUGUUUGCGAUAUACAGCAAGCGGCCAAGCGAAAGCGUUAAGUAUUCCACCUGGGGAGUACGCCGGCAACGGUGAAACUCAAAGGAAUUGACGGGGGCCCGCACAAGCGGAGGAACAUGUGGUUUAAUUCGAUGAUACGCGAGGAACCUUACCCGGGCUUAAAUUGCAGAUGAAUUACGGUGAAAGCCGUAAGCCGCAAGGCAUCUGUGAAGGUGCUGCAUGGUUGUCGUCAGCUCGUGCCGUGAGGUGUCGGCUUAAGUGCCAUAACGAGCGCAACCCUUGUUGUCAGUUACUAACAGGUUCCGCUGAGGACUCUGACAAGACUGCCAUCGUAAGAUGUGAGGAAGGUGGGGAUGACGUCAAAUCAGCACGGCCCUUACGUCCGGGGCUACACACGUGUUACAAUGGGGGGUACAGAGGGCCGCUACCACGCGAGUGGAUGCCAAUCCCCAAAACCUCUCUCAGUUCGGACUGGAGUCUGCAACCCGACUCCACGAAGCUGGAUUCGCUAGUAAUCGCGCAUCAGCCACGGCGCGGUGAAUACGUUCCCGGGCCUUGUACACACCGCCCGUCAAGCCAUGGGAGCCGGGGGUACCUGAAGUGCGUAACCGCGAGGAGCGCCCUAGGGUAAAACUGGUGACUGGGG
rnacentral:rRNA from 1 species